GAUGAAGAACGUAGCGAAAUGCGAUAAGUAGUGUGAAUUGCAGAAUUCAGUGAAUCAUCGAAUCUUUGAACGCACAUUGCGCCCCUUGGUAUUCCAUGGGGCAUGCCUGUUCGAGCGUCAUUUGUACCUUCAAGCUUUGCUUGGUGUUGGGUGUUUGUCCAUUCUCUUGCAGAGGGACUCGCCUUAAAGUAAUUGGCAGCCAGUGUUUUGGUUUUGAAGCGCAGCACAAGUCGCGAUUCAACGCUAUAAGCCAGCUUCCACAAGCCUUUUUCACUUUUGACCUCGGAUCAGGUAGGGAUACCCGCUGAACUUAAGCAUAUCAAUAAGCGGAGGA
rnacentral:misc_RNA from 1 species